rnacentral:rRNA from 1 species
ACUUUAUACCGUGAAACUGCGAAUGGCUCAUUAAAUCAGUUAUCGUUUAUUUGAUAGUACCUUACUACAUGGAUACCUGUGGUAAUUCUAGAGCUAAUACAUGCUAAAAACCCCGACUUCGGAAGGGGUGUAUUUAUUAGAUAAAAAACCAAUGCCCCUCGGGGCUCCUUGGUGAUUCAUAAUAACUUAACGAAUCGCAUGGCCUUGCGCCGGCGAUGGUUCAUUCAAAUUUCUGCCCUAUCAACUUUCGAUGGUAGGAUAGUGGCCUACCAUGGUGGCAACGGGUAACGGGGAAUUAGGGUUCGAUUCCGGAGAGGGAGCCUGAGAAACGGCUACCACAUCCAAGGAAGGCAGCAGGCGCGCAAAUUACCCAAUCCCGACACGGGGAGGUAGUGACAAUAAAUACUGAUACGGGGCUCUUUUGGGUCUCGUAAUUGGAAUGAGUACAAUUUAAAUCCCUUAACGAGGAACAAUUGGAGGGCAAGUCUGGUGCCAGCAGCCGCGGUAAUUCCAGCUCCAAUAGCGUAUAUUAAAGUUGUUGCAGUUAAAAAGCUCGUAGUUGAACCUUGGGUCUGGCUGGCCGGUCCGCCUCACCGCGAGUACUGGUCCGGCUGGACCUUUCCUUCUGGGGAAUCCCAUGGCCUUCACUGGCUGUGGGGGGAACCAGGACUUUUACUGUGAAAAAAUUAGAGUGUUCAAAGCAGGCCUUUGCUCGAAUACAUUAGCAUGGAAUAAUAGAAUAGGACGUGCGGUUCUAUUUUGUUGGUUUCUAGGACCGCCGUAAUGAUUAAUAGGGAUAGUCGGGGGCGUCAGUAUUCAGCUGUCAGAGGUGAAAUUCUUGGAUUUGCUGAAGACUAACUACUGCGAAAGCAUUCGCCAAGGAUGUUUUCAUUAAUCAGGGAACGAAAGUUAGGGGAUCGAAGACGAUCAGAUACCGUCGUAGUCUUAACCAUAAACUAUGCCGACUAGGGAUCGGGCGGUGUUUUUAUGAUGACCCGCUCGGCACCUUACGAGAAAUCAAAGUUUUUGGGU